rnacentral:rRNA from 1 species
GACGAACGCUGGCGGCGUGCUUAACACAUGCAAGUCGAACGGAAAGGCCCUGCUUUUGUGGGGUGCUCGAGUGGCGAACGGGUGAGUAACACGUGAGUAACCUGCCUUUGACUUUGGGAUAACUUCAGGAAACUGGGGCUAAUACCGGAUAGGAGCUCCUGCUGCAUGGUGGGGGUUGGAAAGUUUCGGCGGUUGGGGAUGGACUCGCGGCUUAUCAGCUUGUUGGUGGGGUAGUGGCUUACCAAGGCUUUGACGGGUAGCCGGCCUGAGAGGGUGACCGGCCACAUUGGGACUGAGAUACGGCCCAGACUCCUACGGGAGGCAGCAGUGAGGAAUAUUGCACAAUGGGCGGAAGCCUGAUGCAGCAACGCCGCGUGCGGGAUGACGGCCUUCGGGUUGUAAACCGCUUUCGCCUGUGACGAAGCGUGAGUGACGGUAAUGGGUAAAGAAGCACCGGCUAACUACGUG